UGUGCAACAGGGCUGUUCGGGUUCUCAUGGCUGGCUCAGGCGACAAGACAUUUGGUCUUUCCCGAUGACACUAUGUCAGACUACUGCCAUCAAACCUUGCCGUUUCUGGGGCAUACAGUGGCAACACUACUCGACAUUUAUUCCGAUAGCACCCUAUCCCGUCUUUUACCAUCACUGGGCUCUAUCUUGUCAAAUCAAACACUGUCUGAGAGGUGGAAGUAGAAAACGUGUCACCGGUCAACGCGACGGGACACACUCGUUACGAUGGUGACGACAACAACAAUGCGCCGCGUCAAUCUCUUGUUUCUGUGUAUGCCUGUGCGUGUGAGUGACUGUGGGGGGACAAAAUGUGGAAAAACCUGUUCGUCACUGGUGCUCGGGAGAGAACGUUCAUUGAAGGAUUGCUUGAGGUACCACUAGAGGGAACCCGCACCACUCAACAAUUUGAGAACCACUGCUCUCUGCUGUUCAUUUAUACUUAAUUGUUGUCCAUGUGACCCUCAAGAGGACUUGCUUCUACUGCUGUUUAAAUGUCCGAUCACGAUGUUUUGAGCAAAUGCCGUACUGAACCAAGUGACUUCAAAUGAUAAAGGAUCAAGGAUCAAUCAACUGUGAUUAUAUAGUGAUUUUGACAGAGCAAUAAACACACAAUCAUUUACACAUUUCUGCAUUGUACCUGUGUUGAAAAUGCAUGUGAAAAUGGCGACUACAUGUGGACCAUAAUAAUACUGCAAUGCACUUCAUAUACUCACACUGGCAACAGUAUUCAUUAACAAUCAUGUGACUUGUACAAAAAAAAAUAAAAAUAAUCACUGGUUAUUUGAAACGGCGACCGAUCACAGCUGUGUGCUGAUGGCAACGUACGACGGCCACAGCUCGAAUCACUAAGUAGUUGGUCCGUGACACUGAUGCAAACUAAGUACAGUAGCGGUGCUUGCGACUGGGACUGCCAGGACACAGAACAUUUUCUGACAAAAAGUGUGACCAAAAAAUUAAAUAAAAG